CACACACACAAAGAGGAGUUAGGCUGAGACGCUGAAAGUCCGGAUUUAAAGUGCAGAAAAUUAAGCCAUUGAAUCUGCCUGUCCAUGACGUAGUAAGACACACUAUGAGCCAGUAUGAUCCGACCAGACCUUACAUCAGCAUUGAGGAGUUGUCGGAGAAGAAAGAGGCUGAUUGAAGCGGGACAGAUGACAUGGAUCCAUCCUUCCACAGCCAGGAGCGCACCGACCUGUGUCCCACACUUCAUAUAAGACUGGAAGCUACACUGAUCUCACAGCUACACACCACAGACGUCUACACACUGGAGAAGAUUCAGACAGAGUCCCACAAAGAAGUCAUGACCCAGAGGCUGCAGAGAAACAUUUCAAGCCUCACCUGAGUUUUUGUACAAUAUAUUUGCUGUAUGUAAAUAAAGCUUUGACUCCACAUAUACCUUGUUCA